rnacentral:rRNA from 1 species
UACGUAGGUGGCAAGCGUUACUCGGAAUCACUAGGCGUAAAGCGCAGGUAGGCGGUUUGGUAAGUCUUUUGUGAAAGCUCCCGGCUCAACUGGGAGAGGUCAAAGGAAACUACUAGGCUAGAGUGUGGUAGGGGAUACUGGAAUUCCUGGUGUAGCGGUGAAAUGCGUAGAUAUCAGGAGGAAUACCUAUGGCGAAAGCAGGUAUCUGGGCCAUCACUGACGCUGAGACACGAAAGCGUGGGUAGCAAACAGG